AGAGUUUGAUCCUGGCUCAGAUUGAACGCUGGCGGCAUGCCUUACACAUGCAAGUCGAACGGCAGCGCGGACUUCGGUCUGGCGGCGAGUGGCGAACGGGUGAGUAAUGCAUCGGAACGUGCCUUUCAGUGGGGGAUAACGUAGCGAAAGUUACGCUAAUACCGCAUAUUCUGUGAGCAGGAAAGCAGGGGAUCGCAAGACCUUGCGCUGAUGGAGCGGCCGAUGUCAGAUUAGCUAGUUGGUGGGGUAAAAGCUCACCAAGGCGACGAUCUGUAGCGGGUCUUAGAGGAUGAUCCGCCACACUGGAACUGAGACACGGUCCAGACUCCUACGGGAGGCAGCAGUGGGGAAUUUUGGACGAUGGGCGCAAGCCUGAUCCAGCCAUGCCGCGUGAGUGAAGAAGGCCUUCGGGUUGUAGAGCUCUUUCGGCCGGGAAAAAAUCGCUUGGGUUAAUACCCUGAGUGGAUGAUGGUACCGGAAUAAGAAGCACCGGCUAACUACGUGCCAGCAGCCGCGGUAAUACGUAGGGUGCGAGCGUUAAUCGGAAUUACUGGGCGUAAAGCGUGCGCAGGCGGUUUUGUAAGACAGGCGUGAAAUCCCCGGGCUCAACCUGGGAACUGCGUUUGUGACUGCAAGGCUAGAGUAUGGCAGAGGGGGGUGGAAUUCCACGUGUAGCAGUGAAAUGCGUAGAGAUGUGGAGGAACACCAAUGGCGAAGGCAGCCCCCUGGGCCAAUACUGACGCUCAUGCACGAAAGCGUGGGGAGCAAACAGGAUUAGAUACCCUGGUAGUCCACGCCCUAAACGAUGUCAACUAGGUGUUGGGUGGGUAAAACCAUUUGGUACCGUAGCUAACGCGUGAAGUUGACCGCCUGGGGAGUACGGCCGCAAGGUUAAAACUCAAAGGAAUUGACGG
rnacentral:rRNA from 1 species